CUCCCAUCAACGCACCACCGCCGCCCCGAACCCCCUUCCAUGACCAUAUCACCUGCGCCACCGGCCGCGCCUCCCUCCCGCAUGCCACCUGCGGCUUCCACGCCAUGGCAUGCUCUGAGCCGUUGCGGCAGUACAACUGCACGCUCCACCGCCGGUCAUGAGAAGAGCUGCGUGCAGGCCACACGUGCUCUUCCCUGGAUCCGAUUCAGUUGUGUCCCUCUCAUCCUCUCUCUGUUUGUGUGCGUAUGAAGGAAGUGGGAGGAGAUAAAACAAGGGAGUGAGAGAUCCCCAUUCUCAUGUCUGUGAGAUGUGGGUGUGGGAUUUCCCAAUGUCAAUUCCCACGUUUGUGUUGAUUAGUUGUAGUUUCAUGGAUCUGGUUCUUGUGCAAUGUAAAUCCGUGCAUAGUUCACUCAUUUUUCUCUGAAACUAUGAGCCGAUGAUAGAUUAGAGAUGAGUUGACGGUGUGGGUUUAGGUAGUGAGAUUUGCAGCUAGUUUGUUUACUUGUUUAGGUGGUUGCAAGGGCGUUCUAUUUGAUUAUAGUUAGGCCACCAGUUAGUAUUGUGGUCCUCUGUUGCAAGAAAAAUGGAUCGUCGGUUCAGUUAUAGGCAUCCAACUCUGAAGAUUUUGAAUUUUUGCAUGGUAUUUUAAGUUUGGUUUUUAUCAUAUAAUGUAAAGUUGUAAACAUGUUUCCAAUGGUCUUUGCUCCCAGUUCUGAACUCCUUAUUCAGUCUAUUAGUACAGUCGUAGUGGUGGCCACCCUGACGCCUAGCCCGCCAACCCGCAUCGUGCGCUGCCCCGGGGCCCCCGAGCACUGCCGCUCCCCGUCGCCGGUGCCUGACGGUGCGGGCCACCAUCGCCGCCCGACAAAGCAGGCUACCAUCCCUGCAUUGGCGAUGCGGAUGUCCAGUCGUUGCUGCAUCUCUCUCUGCCUAUGAAUUAGGUGUUGAAAAUGUUUUCUUAUGUAUGUUUUAGUGGGGAGUCCGAUCAUUUGCUGCUCAAAAUCCGACAACAAUCUGACAACAAUUGGAGGAGGAAUGCGCAACAAGCAAGUCUAUCAUCGAUGGCAAGGUUGGCCGUGUAUUCCUAUUCUUUGAAUUGUCUCUGUUUCAACCAUACAAUUCAUCUAGCAUAAAGUAUCGUCGUUACAACCUUUUAAUUUGGUAACUUGGAGGUAGUUUUCAAAUACUAUAUUGUGACCAAAAAGCAAGGUAGAAAAUUACUAUAUAUAUGUUCAAUGUUAGUACCUCUUUGGAAAGAGUAGCUAAGUAUAUGGUUUCACUUGUUUCUUGUGUUAGCCAACUAGAACUUAUUUUGCUUCUCAGUUCUUUGUGCAUAUCCUUACUUGAAAACUGGCUCCACCCUUCUCCCGUUGAACCUCUCAUGAACCUCGUGCACGUACAGCAGCAGCACUAGCCCCCGUUCGUGUCAUGGACAAGAUCAGUUCAACUUGUGCACUUGGCCUGUUUUGUGGGAAUGUCUGAGCAGAAAGAGAAUUAAUAUAUUUUUGCCAAUUCUUCUCUCUCACUGCAGUUAUAGCUAGCAACAGGCCCAUCUGCGUGGUAUGCAAACAGGAGGUAAACUACAGAGACUGCCACUAGUUAUGACAGUGAUUUUGGCCACUAAAUUCCAUGUUUUUCUUUUUUUCCUAGUCAUUGUUGUACUGCCUGCCAUGAAAAAACCUGAUGAUUGAAUACAACUAUUUGUGUAUUCUAUCGUCAGUUCACGGAGAAGAAAUUCUUUUCUCUUCAGUCUGUAUCUAUCGUUAGUUCCGUGUGUAUUUUUGUUCUCGUUUCUUCAGUCCACAAAGAAUAAAUAUUGUUCAUUCAUGAAUAGAGAACUUCUGUAAUAAACUUAAUAUUAGUUUGGUUUGUAUUCUAUCAUCAGUUCAUGAAAAAAUACAAACUAGUUGGUGCGUGUGCAAAAAUAUCAUCAGUUCAUGUUUCGAAAUUAUGUAAGUUUACAUAUAUCACCUAAAUAAGUAAUGUUUUGUAGCGAGUUUCUUCCGUGUCUAUUCUGAUUCAAGUGCCUUGUUCUUCCUAAAACACAAGGUGCUUGUGUUAAUGCCUAUGGGAGAAUAGCACGUACAGGGACUGUGUACUAGUGUUGAAAGCAGAAUAAAGUCCUAAGAUAAUGAUGUUCUCCCCUGCUUCCACUUCCAUUCGCCGCCUCAGAACCCCACGCACUACCGCCCUCCCUUGCCCCCUGUAGCUCGCCGUGUGCAAGUUCUUCAGUCCAAGUUCUCCGGUGAGCUCGUCUCUUGUUUCAUUUUCCUUAACACUCGGUAAGGAAAAUGAUCGUUCAACUUGAAAUAUGUUUUGGACUGAUUGUUCAAGUUCUUUCGUAUAGAAGGUUCAGAAAGUUUUAUUCCUGAAAAUGCACAUAUUUGGAGUACGCCAAUAUAUAUGUACUCCCUCCAUUCCGAUUUACUCGUUGUGGUUUUAGUUCAAAUUUUAACUAAAACCACGACCAGUAAAUCGGAAUGGAGGGAGUAUUUGUGAAUUUCGCUCUUGAGUAACAGUUCAACAUGUAUUACGCCAUCAAUUCAUAAUGGAAAGGCAGCAAACAGUUUAAUACUUGUGUGUUGCGCGCCUCCACCUUCCGGUUGCCGCGCGCCUCCACCUUCCGGUCGCCGCGCGCCUCCACCUCCCGUCCGUCGCGCGCGUCCAUCCCCGACUGUCGGCACGCCUCCACCUCCUACAUGCCGCCAUGGACAUCCAUCCCCAGUGUGCCGGCGACCUCCCUCCACCUGGCGCCGGCCCCCUCUUCCCCACUGCACCACCGCCCCCCUCUGCCUCACCGGGUCGCACCGCGCCCCUCCCUCCUCCGCCUCACCGCGCCGCCCCCAAGAGCGACGUUGUCGACACAAUUGCAGGGCCAGCUUGCUGCUGACCACGCAAUCUUCCUCAAGGAGCUCGUGUCCAACAAGACUGUAAGGAACAACUACUCGAGUUUUGAACUUCUUACUCAGUCAUGCUAGUAAUGAGGGAAAAUGGGCUGAAAUGUAUUGCAAUUUAUCUUUCUGAGACCCUGACAAUUAUUCAGUCCAUGCCACCAGGCAGUCCAACUGCAUCCGCCAUCUCAGUGUGACCUCUUAUACCUUUGCAACCCUGUGUCCCGCCAUCCAGCGAGUAGUCCAACCUCAGGGCCAUGUUCUGAGAAAAUCCCCUGAAGCGAAAUUGUUGCCGAUAGCCAUUGACCAUGAAGCUUCUCUGCCCUGCUGCUACUACUACAUGAGUACUGAUGGACAUAUGAGGGAGCAUUGUUUCUUAUCGGAGAAGGCCUGGUGUUUAGUCGGUGUCUGUGUGGUACCUACACGGCUAUACCAGCAUUUUCCAUCAAGACCUCCAGAAAAAGAGAUCAUCUCAAGGAAUUGCCUUUGUUAACUUUGGCAUCCCUCGACGCCUCGUGGAGAGGCCACGCGCUGGAUCCAGUAGGGCAACGCUGUUGACACCGCCAUAGUCCUCCAGUGUCACCCUUCCCGUCCAUGUCCAGCCGCAUCCACGACGACCGGGACUUGCUGCCAUUAGCUGUUGGUGCACCUCAUGUUAGCUCCUAGUUGUUACCUAGUGUGCUUGAUGCUACUGCUACAAAGAAGGUCGAAGGAGAUCCCUUCACUUCAAUGGAUUCAACAAAAAUAAUCCCUGGUGCCACUGCAUCCCGAGUUCAAAGGAUUCCUUAGGGGCCUUCUACACCAUCUUGCUAAUGAUGCCAUCACUGGAUGCCACGGCCAUGGUCGUCAUUCUUGUGCUGGCAUUAACAUACUGCUCCCUAUUUUACUCCACGGAGAUCCAUAGAAAUAAGUUAUAUUCAGUUCGCCACUUUUACAAUUGAUGGUCCUAUGUUAACAGAAACAAUAGUUCAAGCUCCCAAAAAUCAAUUAUGUGUAUGCUACAUCACUUUGAGGAACUACAGCAAACAAAAUAAGGAUAGCUUGGUACUACUUGAUUUAGUUUUGAUAGUACUACUUGAACCCUUUCUAUUGUAUACAUUGGCUCCUAUUUAUUGCAACCUCGUCAGAUUGUUGGA